AUUUAAGUAGCUUAGUUAUUAUAAAGUUAAAUAUUGAAGGUAUUUAGAUGAAUUUAUUUCCUUAAGUA
rnacentral:tRNA from 1 species